GACGAACGCUGGCGGCGUGCUUAACACAUGCAAGUCGAACGGAAAGGCCCUGCUUUUGUGGGGUGCUCGAGUGGCGAACGGGUGAGUAACACGUGAGUAACCUGCCCUUGACUUUGGGAUAACUUCAGGAAACUGGGGCUAAUACCGGCUAGGAGCUCCUGCUGCAUGGUGGGGGUUGGAAAGGUUCGGCGGUUGGGGAUGGACUCGCGGCUUAUCAGCUUGUUGGUGGGGUAGUGGCUUACCAAGGCUUUGACGGGUAGCCGGCCUGAGAGGGUGACCGGCCACAUUGGGACUGAGAUACGGCCCAGACUCCUACGGGAGGCAGCAGUGGGGAAUAUUGCACAAUGGGCGGAAGCCUGAUGCAGCAACGCCGCGUGCGGGAUGACGGCCUUCGGGUUGUAAACCGCUUUCGCCUGUGACGAAGCGUGAGUGACGGUAAUGGGUAAAGAAGCACCGGCUAACUACGUG
rnacentral:rRNA from 1 species